GCAGGCGUGCAGCUGCUGGUGCAGGGCACCUGCCCCGCCCCUCAGAGGGUGAAGGGAUCCCCGCGCUGCUCCCCAGCGCCGCCGGCCCUCAGAGCCAAAGUGAAGCGAACUAGAGCUCUCGUGCAGCUUUUCACACUUCUCUGUCAGCUGCAAUACCUGACAGGAUAACUAAUGGACAAAAGACAUGAAACACUCAUUCAGCUCAGCUGCAAGUAAUUCCUGCAAACCGUGUACAUACAGGAAUAAAGAGGCUCGUUGGAUCUCACGUAAGGAGAAAUUACAUGACUGAGGAUUAAAGAUGCAAACCCCUUUAAAUACAUUGACUAAUAGUCAACACUGAAACUGGAUCAGGAGUAUUUUUUGCAUAUCUUGACUACAAUAUAUGCUUCUAGGCAAAUUUUAUCUGAAGUUAAAACCACAUCUGGAUGUAAUUUUAUUUUCAUCCUCUAAUACUUUCACUAUGUUCCACAAGGUGCCAUUAAUGGCAUUAACAUUUUAAGCUUGCCCAGCACUAGGUAUUUCAGCUAUUGCCAAUGAGGUCUUCCAGCAACAAGUUUUCCUAGCAUGGAUGGAUUUUAAUGUGACCUGGGAAGUUUGUAGCUUUUUUAAAUCCCCUUGUGGGGUUUUGCAUCUUCAGAGAUUCUGCUGAAAGAGACUCUUCAAUCAGAAACAUGAGGCAAACUCUUCAGUGCCAGACAUAUCCCCCUGCAGUUAUUCAAAUUAACGUAACACUGCUAUUUUACUAGUUGUCCUUGAGAAGAUUGUUUACUAGUUGUUUCUAAUAAAGUAGUUAGGCAAAACUCAUGAUUUCUGUCACUGAAAUUUUAAUUAACAAUACAAAACUUACAUAUGCCUUUAAAAAGGACAAAAACAUGGGAGGGAAUGUUCUUUCAGAUGUCAUCUUAGGAAGGAAGAAAAAGAAACUAAAGAAAUGGGAAAAUAGAAAAGGGAGGAAAAUGCAUGCAAAUUUUAGAUUUUCCUAUGUGACUUCA